rnacentral:snoRNA from 1 species
ACGACCUUACUUGAACAGGAUCUGUUCUAUAGGCUCGUACCUCUGCAUCCUUGAGUUCUAAGGAGACAGGAAUCAAAGUCUGGUGGAUGAGUUCGGACUGUGCGAUCAGAGCGUGAUUAAUUGCCUUCGGGUCUCAAGAUUUGAGAUUCUACGGGCCGUAGAGGAUCGUUCUCAGCCAUCUAAUGGCUGGGAUGGUCGCACGGUUUUCUGACAGACU